rnacentral:rRNA from 1 species
AUCUCGCAAGAGUGAACUAGCUAACUGAAAUCUUCUUUAUGCUUAAGGGCAUAAAGUCACAAUGUGAAAAAAGGAUAAGGUAAAGGAAAAUAAUGAUGUUACUUUACUAUAGUGUUGUCUAAAACUGGUGCCAGAAGACUCGGUAAGGCCAGAAACGCAAACGUUAGUCAUCUUUAUCAGGCGUAAAGGGUUAGUAGGCUGCUUUUAUCAUUAACCACUAGGAAAAACUAUUAUGGUUUUUACUAUAAAUAAUAUUUUCUAUGUAAAACUUUUGAACAUAGGAUAGGUUAAUACAACUAAAAGCUAGAAUCAAAUAGAGGUUAUGGAAUUUAAUAUUUAAAACAGGGGUUAAAUCCUUAGAAUUUAAAUAGAAAAUUAAUGGCGAAGGCUUUUUUUCCACUACUGAUUAUGAGUGUAUAAUUUUAAAUAAUUAAUAGCUUGUAAAUUUGACGCUGAGUAACUAAGGGGAGGAUAGGAAAUAGGAUUAGAUACCCAGAUACCCCUCCCUGUCAACGAUGAAUGGUAAUUUCUAGUUAGAGUAAUCUUAAUACUAGUUUUAAUGUUAACACGUUAACCAUUCCGCCUUGUGAGUACGACUGCAAAGUUGAAAACAAAAAAAUUAGUCGGUUUCGGAGCAAACGAAGUGA